UCGCUGGCUACUUGUUCACAUGACACUGGAUA
rnacentral:piRNA from 1 species